rnacentral:rRNA from 1 species
GAAACCAACAGGGAUUGCCCCAGUAACGGCGAGUGAAGCGGCAAAAGCUCAAAUUUGAAAUCUGGCCCUUUCAGGGUCCGAGUUGUAAUUUGCAGAGGAUGCUUCGGGUGCGGCCCCGGCCUAAGUUCCUUGGAACAGGACGUCAUAGAGGGUGAGAAUCCCGUCUUUGGUCGUCGGCCCGCGCCCGUGUGAAGCUCCUUCGAAGAGUCGAGUUGUUUGGGAAUGCAGCUCUAAGCGGGUGGUAAAUUUCAUCUAAAGCUAAAUAUUGGCCGGAGACCGAUAGCGCACAAGUAGAGUGAUCGAAAGGUUAAAAGCACCUUGAAAAGGGAGUUAAACAGCACGUGAAAUUGUUGAAAGGGAAGCGCUUGCGGCCAGACUCGGGUGCGGGGUUCAGCGGACGCGUGUCGUCCGUGCACUCCCCGUUUCCCGGGCCAGCAUCAGUUUCGACGGCCGGUCAAAGGCCUCUGGAAUGUGUCGUCUCUCGGGACGUCUUAUAGCCAGAGGUGCAAUGCGGCCUGUUGGGACUGAGGAACGCGCUUCGGCUCGGAUGCUGGCAUAAUGGCCGUAAGCGGCCCGUCUUGAAACACGGACCAAGGAGUCUAACAUCCACGCGAGUGUUCGGGUGUCAAACCCGUGCGCGCAGUGAAAGCGAACGGAGGUGGGAGCCUUAGGGCGCACCAUCGACCGAUCCUGAAGUCUUCGGAUGGAUUUGAGUAGGAGCGUGGCCGUUGGGACCCGAAAGAUGGUGAACUAUGCCUGAAUAGGGUGAAGCCAGAGGAAACUCUGGUGGAGGCUCGCAGCGGUUCUGACGUGCAAAUCGAUCGUCAAAUUUGGGCAUAGGGGCGAAAGACUAAUCGAACCAUCUAGUAGCUGGUUCCUGCCGAAGUUUCCCUCAGGAUAGCAGUAACGAUUUUCCAGUUUUAUGAGGUAAAGCGAAUGAUUA